UUGAAGCAUAUGUUUUCCCGCCCGCCCAAGCGACUAUAGUCUCAUCCCGCACCAUAGUUACUCGCAAGCCAUUUCGAUUGCCAUUGAGAAACUCAAGACUGCCUUUUUAGAUGCACAACAACUUCUACUUUGGAGUUCUUUUUUAUUUUCCUUCUUUUACCUCAAAUGGUUCUUUUUGGAGACAUCAGAGAGACGCUAAUGAUGCAUUGAAUACAUGCAAUUUAUUUAUUUUGCAUGAAGAACUCACCGGUACAAACUAGCAGUACGAGACGGAUCACGUACAACAUACACAUAAACCUCCACUAGCCUUAAUCUCACAGUACCCACCCCGAGGAUAUUCAACGGAAAAACACCACUUUUCACAUAUCUUAGAGUCACUACAUGGUAGUUUACCAUGGUGUUGUGUGCACCUCCCUUCAAUCAUAUCUGCAUUAAUUGGUGAGUAAAAUAUGUAUGUUAAUAUGUUAUCCCAUAUUGUAAGUUCAAUAAGCAAUAUAUGGAAGGAUCAAUGUCAUGUAAAUUCAAGUUUGCAACACACUCUUCUCCUUACCACAAGACAUGAUGAGUGCUAGCAUAAAGAUAGAUGCAAUGGCGACAACGACGGUGGUCUUGCAAGCCAUAGCGAG
rnacentral:lncRNA from 1 species